AUUGAACGCUGGCGGCAGGCCUAACACAUGCAAGUCGAGCGGAUGAAGGGAGCUUGCUCCUGGAUUCAGCGGCGGACGGGUGAGUAAUGCCUAGGAAUCUGCCUGGUAGUGGGGGAUAACGUCCGGAAACGGGCGCUAAUACCGCAUACGUCCUGAGGGAGAAAGUGGGGGAUCUUCGGACCUCACGCUAUCAGAUGAGCCUAGGUCGGAUUAGCUAGUUGGUGGGGUAAAGGCCUACCAAGGCGACGAUCCGUAACUGGUCUGAGAGGAUGAUCAGUCACACUGGAACUGAGACACGGUCCAGACUCCUACGGGAGGCAGCAGUGGGGAAUAUUGGACAAUGGGCGAAAGCCUGAUCCAGCCAUGCCGCGUGUGUGAAGAAGGUCUUCGGAUUGUAAAGCACUUUAAGUUGGGAGGAAGGGCAGUAAGUUAAUACCUUGCUGUUUGGACGUUACCAACAGAAUAAGCACCGGCGAACUUCG
rnacentral:rRNA from 1 species